UAACUCUUCCCUCAUGAGCGAAAUCUCGGCCUGGUGUUUCUCCUCCACCGCCUGAAGACAUUGCGCCAGGACUUGAUUCACGGUGGACUGCAUCUCCUCCCGCAAUCCGUCUAGGCCCUCCUCGACCCUUUGUUCGACCCCCUAGAACCUUUGGUCGGCCUCCAUGAACUUGUCCUGCCCAUCGGCAAUAGCCAACUCCACCUUAGCCAGCCUUGUCUCCAACUCCCCCAUGACGUCCCUGGAGCGAGACCUUUGGCCCUUAGAUUUGUUCCCUUCGGUUUGGGUGAGUUCACUGCCGCCUUCCAUGCUCCCUUAGAUGUUCCAACGAACCUGACGCUCUGAUACCAAUUGUGACAAGACUGUAACUCAAACACGACGAUCUGUCUGGCCUAGCGAACUUUCAAUGCCAAAGUUAGCUAGUCAGCCUACCCGGAAGCUUAGUAGAACUUAAGAAAGACUAAGCUUGUAGAAACUUGGCGAAGGCCGCCUUCCAUACUCCCUUAGAUGUUCCAACGAACCUGGCUCUGAUACCAAUUUUGACAAGACCAUAACUCAAACACGACGAUCUGUCCGGCCUAGCAAACUUUCAGUGCCAAAGUUAGCUAGUCAGCCUACCCGGAAGCUUAGUAGAACUUAAGAAAGACUAAGCUUGUAGAAACUUGGCGAAGGAAACUAGUAGUUGGAAGAAAGNNNN
rnacentral:lncRNA from 1 species